GCUGCUUCUCUCAAGAAAAGACAAGAAGCCAGAGUUGCAGCAUCCCCAGUUUCUGGAUCUUCAUGGGAGAAUUCACUGCCCCAACCAGCCUCCCCUGAAUGAGUCAGGAGUAUAACAGCUGCAGUACACUAAGUAUCAAGACCCAAGAUGAAGUUAAUCCUUGAUUGGUUGUUUGUUUUAAUAAAGUUCCAUUCCAGCACUAAA